rnacentral:rRNA from 2 species
UCUCCGUUGGUGAACCAGCGGAGGGAUCAUUACCGAGUUAUACAACUCAUCAACCCUGUGAACAUACCUAAACGUUGCUUCGGCGGGAAUAGACGGCCCCGUAAAACGGGCCGCCCCCGCCAGAGGACCCCUAACUCUGUUUCUAUAAUGUUUCUUCUGAGUAAAACAAGCAAAUAAAUUAAAACUUUCAACAACGGAUCUCUUGGCUCUGGCAUCGAUGAAGAACGCAGCGAAAUGCGAUAAGUAAUGUGAAUUGCAGAAUUCAGUGAAUCAUCGAAUCUUUGAACGCACAUUGCGCCCGCCAGUAUUCUGGCGGGCAUGCCUGUUCGAGCGUCAUUACAACCCUCAGGCCCCCGGGCCUGGCGUUGGGGAUCGGCGGAGCCCCCCGUGGGCACACGCCGUCCCCCAAAUACAGUGGCGGUCCCGCCGCAGCUUCCAUCGCGUAGUAGCUAACACCUCGCGACUGGAGAGCGGCGCGGCCACGCCGUAAAACACCCAACUCUUCUGAAGUUGACCUCGAAUCAGGUAGGAAUACCCGCUGAACUUAA